rnacentral:rRNA from 1 species
AGUGAACGCUGGCGGUAGGCCUAACACAUGCAAGUCGAACGGCAGCACAGUAAGAGCUUGCUCUUACGGGUGGCGAGUGGCGGACGGGUGAGGAAUACAUCGGAAUCUACUUUUUCGUGGGGGAUAACGUAGGGAAACUUACGCUAAUACCGCAUACGACCUACGGGUGAAAGCAGGGGAUCUUCGGACCUUGCGCGAUUGAAUGAGCCGAUGUCGGAUUAGCUAGUUGGCGGGGUAAAGGCCCACCAAGGCGACGAUCCGUAGCUGGUCUGAGAGGAUGAUCAGCCACACUGGAACUGAGACACGGUCCAGACUCCUACGGGAGGCAGCAGUGGGGAAUUUUGGGCAAUGGGCGCAAGCCUGAUCCAGCCAUACCGCGUGGGUGAAGAAGGCCUUCGGGUUGUAAAACCCUUUUGUUGGGGAAGAAAAGCAGCAGGUUAAAACCCCGCUGUUCUGACGGUACCCAAAGAAAAAGCACCGGCUAACUUCGUG